UACGGGGGGAGCAAGCGUUGUUCGGAUUUACUGGGCGUAAAGGGCGCGUAGGCGGCGUAACAAGUCACUUGUGAAAUCUCCGGGCUUAACCCGGAGCGGCCAAGUGAUACUGUUGUGCUAGAGUGCGGAAGGGGCUACUGGAAUUCUCGGUGUAGCGGUGAAAUGCGUAGAUAUCGAGAGGAACACCUGCGGCGAAGGCGGGUUGCUGGGCUGAUACUGACGCUGAGGCGCGAAAGCUAGGGGAGCGAACGGG
rnacentral:rRNA from 1 species